GAUGAACGCUAGCGGCAGGCUUAACACAUGCAAGUCGAGGGGCAGCAUGGAGACGGAGAUUCGUCAAAGUCUUGAUGGCGACCGGCGCAAGGGUGCGUAACGCGUGAGCAACUUGCCCGUUUCUGGGGAAUAACCGGUGGAAACGCCGACUAAUACCCCAUAGUAUUGACUUGGGCAUCCUUAGUCAAUUAAAGAACUUCGGAAACGGAUAGGCUCGCGUGACAUUAGCUAGAUGGCGGGGUAACGGCCCACCAUGGCGACGAUGUCUAGGGGUUCUGAGAGGAAGGUCCCCCACACUGGAACUGAGACACGGUCCAG
rnacentral:rRNA from 1 species